CCAGCAUGUUAAUAUCAUGAGAGCAGACACAGUGCCUAAUGGAAUAAAAUUGAAGAGCCUGAUAUUGGCCUAUGUUCUUAUCAGCAUUUGGGUUUUGAGAAAAAGGAAAACAAACAAACAAAACAAAAAACUCACCACCCCCCCUCCCACCACCACACACAAGUGCAGUUUUCAACCUGUGGGUUGCAAGCCCUUCAAGGAACAACCACAUAUGAGACAUGCUUUAUACAUGAUAUUUACAUUACAAUUCAAAACAGUAGCCACCUUACAUUUAUGACUUAGCAAUGAAAUAAUUUGGUAGUUGGGGUUGGUUACCACAAUGUGAAGAACUGUAUUCCUUGAGUUGUUCUUGGUCAUAGUAUUUUUCUGCAGUAACAGAAAUGUGACUGAUAUAUAAACUGGUACCGAAGUGAGUGGAGAUGUUUGUGAGGAACCUCUUGAUUUUUUGGAGGAGGGUGGGAGACUUUGGAUUGGGAAAACUGUUGAAUUAUUUAAGGAGAUCUUAACAGUUUAGUUUGCCACAUGGGAGACAUAAGUAUUGUGAGUCUGUGCAAAAUAGAGCCUCUCUGAUGAGACUUCAAAGGAUGGCAGGAACUCUAUUGGUGACUGGCUUAGAAGCAAUUGAUAUAAUUUUGGCAAACAAUCUGUCUCUUUUCUGCCUGGUUACUAAGAAGUGACCUGAAGAUAAAUAAAAAACUGAUUGACUAAUUGUUUUGAGCAAAUUUCAAGGGGUAGAUAUUGGGUGACCUUCCUCAAAUGAUAGGAAUGUGUGUUUGUAUUUUCAAUUGUUAAUGUAGCCAGGACUUCAGUUAAUCCUGCCACAUUCAGGGUCUGGACGCAUAGGAAACUGCAAGGUCUCCCAGGAUUUGGAAAAUAUCCCAAUUGUUGUAAGGUCCUAAAACAUGUUGUCACCCCACACAGCCCGAAGCAUCUUAAAAGAACAUGACCCCCUCAUUCUCAAGAGGAAGGGUGGGUGGGUGGUUAUUUGUCUGCCGUGGGUUAUAGAUGUUUAUUGUCAUUUAGGGGGUUGGUUGCAAGUUUUUACUGGCCAUGGUCAGGGAGGAAACAGUAAAGCAGAUUAGAAUCAGGAAUGUCUUUCUUCCUUUCUCUUUCUCUCCUCAAACCUUUUUCUCUCCUAUCUAGUGUUGUGGGAAAGCAGGAGAAAGGGGCAAAAAUGACAAAAGCAUAGAUUAUUCUACCUCUUUUUAUACUAGAACACAACACCAAGUCACAAAGAUUUUAGGAUGGCAUGGAUUUUGGAUGAUGAUACAAUUGAAAAUUGUACUUGCAUAAAUGAUUUAAUUAUUUUUUAAGAUAUAAGUAUACAAAGCUUAUUCAUAAUGUGGUGUAAAAUUCUAAUUCUAUAAAAUUACUACUGCACACUGCCAUGGAUACUUAAGGAAUGCAAGCUAGUACUUUUCAACUAUAAAUAAUCAGUCUUGUAGUCAUGUUAGGUACUGCUUUAGUUAGGUACAGAAAUAAGCUUUCUUUAACUUCCUGUGUAUGUUUUUAAAGUUAAGCAGAAAGUAAAUACCUUGAAAAAAAGCUACAUUUGUCCACUGAGAUAGACUUUACAUACAAAGGAGGUUCUCAAAUCCUUUAGAGGUCUGAAGAAUCUGCCAUUUCAAAUGUCCUAGUAGUUAAAGGCUUUUCACAGUGGGAGAGAACUCAACUCCUGGCAUUGUCCCCAGUCUAUUCUGAAGAAGAUGAUUGGCUCUAAAUAAUCCUAACUGGAGUUUCCUUGUAAAGGAGCAAAGUGGCCAUUGGGUGAAAUAGUACCCACUUACUGCUGCUGCUAGAAAGCUGUCCAAACUGUGCAGAAGUGGAUCAUGGGAGGUCUGUUGUCCAAGUUUUUGGAGAAAAAAUAGGAUAGUCCUUCAAGUGACGUGCUUCAAAGGAUUGUUGUCAGAGCUCCUGGCCCAGUGAGUUGAAGGUGGAUGCCACAAUGACACAGGAACAUUUGCUGACAGUCUGUCAGGGUAGCCAACAAUUUCUGUCAUUUCUUUAGAUUUGGAAGCUGUUUGCUCUGAAUUUCCUUUUAUUCAGGCAACAUUUCUCCUUCUCAGAUCUCGGAUGGGGUUGAAGAUUAGAUAGUUUAGUCUUAACAUUUUCUUGUUAUGAGAAUCAGAAAAGAAAACUUGUUCACCAUCGUGCAGGAAUGUGACAGCCAGGAACCUGGACAGGAACAGGGUGGACAUGGGAGGCCCAGAAAGCAGGACUGGACGUAUAGCCCACCACAGCAUCAGAACGCCUGAGACAACCUCUCUGGCUUCAUAAAUCCUGAGAAUUGAGAAUGGGGAUGGCAGGAGAGUGUGCGUGGUCUGACCACUGCUCGGGACUUUUUAAAGCAUGUACCACUCCCGAGCACAUAGAAGAGCUUGAGCAGAAAGAGGCAGGUGCCCAGAAGCUGCUGCUGUGGUAGGAGGCAGUUAUGGCGGUUGGAGGUGGAGUUAGGGGCGGAGUUAGAGGCGGAGUUAGAGGCACAGGAGGGAUGGGAGAGGACCGAGG
ensembl:lncRNA